UUUUGUUUUGUUUGUCAGAUCUGCAGGGAAGGCAGUUCAACCCUAGAUGUGGAGUUCCCAGAGCUGGUUAAAAUGGAUCAGUCUAUGGUGCACCUCUGGGUGAAAACAGAACCCUUCAUAGUGGGGGCUUUGCAGAUCCCCCCUCCAUCCAAGUUCAGCAUGCACUAUCUCCGGAAGAUGUCCACGUAUGUCCGGACGCGGGCCAGUGAGGGCUGUUAUCCACGCCUUUUCUGGCCUAUGUGGCGGCACAUUGCCUGUGGGAAGCUGCAGUUAGCCAAGGAUUUGGCCUGGCUCUACUUUGAGAUAUUUGGCAGUCUAGUGGAACGGACUCCAGAGGAACAUCUGGAAUGGGCAGAGGUGGUGUCCAGCUGCAAGUCAGAAGAGGAAUUAGAGAAGCAGAGGAAUAAGCUGUCAGUAGACUCUCUGCAGUUCCUGCUGUUCUUGUACAUUCAGCAGCUAAACAAGGUUUCCUUGCGGACAUCUCUGAUUGGAGAAGAGUGGCCAAGUCCCACGGACAAAUCUCAGUCUGCCAACCUGACUGGAAAAUCCACCUGUCAAAAUAAGAACUGGAAUGAUUACACCCACCAAGCGUUUGUGCAGAACCACCUGUUGGAUCUGCUGGAACUGCUACUGGACCCGGACCAGCUCACGGCCUCUUCCCAUUCCACUCACAGUAGCUUGGUCUCCCCUGAAGCUGUUCGAGCUCUCAGCUUUCUCAUUGAGGGGACCGUGAACAAAACCAGGACUGUCCAUCCUCUUCAUGAGCUUGCUCUCUGGCAGCCCUUGCAUGCGAAGAACGGCUACUCGAAGAUUUCCAAAGCCUUCUCUUUCCCCAAGCUAGAGGCCUGGCUGAGGGCCUGCCUGACUGGGAGCCCAUUUGGGACGUCUGCCUGCCUCAAGUCUGGGAAGAAACUUGCAUGGGCGCAACAAGUUGAAGGAACAACCAAGAGAGCAAAGAUUGCGUGCAAUGCCCAUGUGGUCCCUGAGGUUCACCGCAUGGUGGUAAUGAGCCAAGUCUACAAACAGACGCUGGCCAAGAGCUCGGAUACCCUGGUGGGUGCUCAUGUGAAGAUCCAUCGCUGCAAUGAGUCCUUCAUAUAUCUGCUCUCUCCUUUACGAUCUGUGACCAUUGAGAAGUGCAGGAAUAGCACUUUUGUCCUGGGCCCUGUGCAGACAGCCAUUCACCUCCACAGCUGUGAUAAUGUCAAAGUCAUUGGCAUCUGCCACCGUUUGUCUAUCUCAUCUACGACAGGCUGCACCUUCAACAUUCUCACGCCUACACACCCUCUCAUUCUCUUGGGUAACCAAGCAGUAACUUUUGCCCCUUAUCACACCCAUUACCCAAUGCUUGAGGACCACAUGGCCCGGAUGGGCCUGGCUACAGUGCCUAACUACUGGGACAGUCCAAUGCUGGUGUGCAAAGAGAACAGUGAUGCCAGUCUCUUCCGACUCUUACCCCCCAAUGAGUUUUAUACAUUUGUCAUUCCUUUUGAGAUGGAAGGAGACACGACAGAAACACCUGGGGGGCUGCCACAUGCAUACCAGAAGGCACUGAGUCAACGAGAGCAGAAGAUACAGGUUUGGCAAAAAACUGUGAAAGAGGCAGGGCUAACAAAGGAUCAGAGGAAGCAGUUCCAGGUGCUGGUGGAGAACAAAUUCUAUGAAUGGCUAAUUCACACAGGACAUCGUCAGCAGCUGGACAGCCUCGUGCCUCCUGCAGCAGGCGCCAAGCAAGCGGCAGGAUAGGAUGCUCUCCUUUAACAGAAGGAAAGGAAGGAGUUGUGAAGAUGGAUGGUGACAAGCUGACGGUGGUUUCCAGUGAAUACUUUGAGGCCAUGCUGGUUAGACAUUCCCAUGGUGUUGCAAAUUAAUGAGGAUAUCUGGACCUCUGCAUCAGCAUGAGCUGGACACUUUUUUUUGCCCUGUUCAAGACAUCACUGCAUCACCUUGCUCCUUUCCAGGACCUGGGGUACAUCAACUCCAGCUGGCUUCAGGAGGAAACCAGAUGAAGGAUUGCGUGUACAUCAGGAGAGCGGAGGUGGGAGGCGAAUGCUGUGGCUGUUGGGGAGACUUUCAAAUGUGCCCCAGUGCUUCAUGCUCUCCUCGGUGUCUUACUGGGGAGAGCUGCUGUGCCGUGAAGAGAGUGGCAAGCUUGCGGGAAGAUGCCCUGAGUGUCUGCAAAGCAUCUGAGUUCCAAAGCUAGCAGCCAGCACCAGUGUAUGCUCCAUAGUCAGGCUGUCGAGAAGGAAGUACAGCAUGGCUGCUGGGAUGCUGAUGCCUGACUCUGAUCACAGGCGGGGGGAGACCAGUUGUGUGAAAUGUGUAAUACUGCCAAAGAGGGCACUGCCCAGACACUUGAGCUUCUUCAGGGUAUGUUUAGAGUGAGCCUCCCAGCCCUGGGUGACAGACUUGGGCUAGCAGGGCUUGUGCCAGCACUUGUGCAGACAGUGCUUUGAAGGAGCCACUAGGGCUCUGAAGCCCACACCCUUCCCUAGCCGAGCUGCGGCUUCAAAGUGCUGUCUGCACCAUUAUUUCUAGAGCACUAGCGUGAGCCCGGCAAGCCCAAGUCUGAUGCUCCAAAAUGCUGGGUAGACCUACCCUCAGACUACAGUACUGAACCCAGGGAUGUUGAGAGCAGCUUUCCCCCUGACUUCAGUGUGGGUGGGAGCAGGCCCUCCACUUUGGACUCCUAGCAGGUUUAAACCAGACAGGGAUGUAGCUCACAACCCUACGUUCUGCCUAGGGAUCAAAGUGCAUGAGACUGAGAGCCUGGGUGCUGGUUCCCAGUUGUGUGCUGCCUCGCUGAGUGACCCUGGGCAUACAGCCAAAAUCUGAACUUCUUGCUCCCACUGGGGGACACGCUGGAGUGACCCUUCAUUGCUCUGUGUGCCCGUAUGUAAAACGGGCACAAUGACACUGCACAGGCAUGCUGUGCAAUAAUAUUCUUGUCAUCCGCUCCUGUCUCUGAGUCCCAUCGCAGCAUGAGAAUGGGGCACUGCAGGCAGGCAGAGAUCUGCCCCGGUAUCAGGUGGGCAAAAGAAUUUGCUCAUGUAGAACUUACUUCACCUCUGGAACCUAAGCUCUUCUAAGCAGGGGGAAAGGUGCUUUGUCUGACAGCUGGUGGUGUUGGGGCUGAGCCUGCUGGCGGACAGUAACUGACUAAAGAUCAAGGACAAAGGUUCACUCACUGCUUUGCUAAUGUAACUUAAACUCUGUGGAGCAGGAGACUCUAGUGUCCUCUGAGAGGCGGGAUGGCUCAGUGGUUAGGGCACUUGCCUAGGACUCGGGAGACCUGAGUUCAAUUCCCUGCUGUGCCACUUCCCUGCUGGUUAGAGCUGAGACGUCUCACUUGAACUAAUGAUCUGUGCCCACCUGCAGUGAAGGAGCUUAGUAGAGGGCUCGUGGGGAGGAGCGUGUUCCUUACAAAUUCCUAUGAGCUCUUUUCACUAAGACUAAACAUACUGAUGUUUAUUGUUAGUCCAAUCUUUGCCCUGUGGACAUAAACUUCAGGGGUUCUCAGUUCUCUUUGUGAUCAUGUUUGAAGGGGGAUGGGAAACAGCUUGCAAACAGGAGCAGUGAAUUGUUCUCUCUGACUACAAAACUUUGAUUAGGGAAGUCAAAUGUAUCUUACAAAUUUCACUUCUGAAACUUUGUUUCAGUGGCAAAAAAAAAGAUGGCCAGGUUAUGGCACUAUAGCAUAGGAUGUGGAAACAGGCUGCUGUGUGUUAUACAUAGAGACUGUGAGAACUAUGAAAGGGAAAAUCAUGCAGUUAAUAGAUAAGGCCCGAUUAUGCAAACAUGCACGUGCUUAGCUUUAAAGCACACGAGUAGCCCUUUCACACAGUAUUUGGAGGACUGGAGCCUAAAUGUCUUUACCUCUGUUACUAACCAUCCCUGAAAUAAUUAAAAUGACAAUUGAUGUGAACCAAACUAA